GAUGAAGAACGUAGCGAAAUGCGAUAAGUAGUGUGAAUUGCAGAAUUCAGUGAAUCAUCGAAUCUUUGAACGCACAUUGCGCCCCUUGGUAUCCCGAGGGGCAUGCCUGUUCGAGCGUCAUUUCACCACUCAAGCCUGGCCUGGUGUUGGGCGACGUCCUCUUUGGGGACGCGCCUCGAAACGCUCGGCGGCGUGGCACCGGCUUUAAGCGUAGCAGAAUCUUUCGCUUUGGAAGUCGGGGCCCCGUCUGCCGGAAGACCUGCUCGCAAGGUUGACCUCGGAUCAGGCAGGGAUACCCGCUGAACUUAAGCAUAUCAAUAAGCGGAGGA
rnacentral:misc_RNA from 1 species